AGUCGAACGAAGUCUUCGGACUGAGUGGCGGACGGGUGAGUAACGCGUGAGAAUCUGCCUAGAGGUCGGGGACAACCAUUGGAAACGAUGGCUAAUACCGGAUAUGCCUUACGGGGUGAAAGAUUAAUUGCCUUUAGAAGAGCUCGCGUCUGAUUAGCUAGUUGGUGAGGUAAGAGCUCACCAAGGCAGCGAUCAGUAGCUGGUCUGAGAGGAUGACCAGCCACACUGGGACUGAGACACGGCCCAGACUCCUACGGGAGGCAGCAGUGGGGAAUUUUCCGCAAUGGGCGAAAGCCUGACGGAGCAAGACCGCGUGAGGGAGGAAGGCUCUUGGGUUGUAAACCUCUUUUGUCAGGGAAGAACAAAAUGACGGUACCUGACGAAUCAGCAUCGGCUAACUCCGUGCCAGCAGCCGCGGUAAUACGGAGGAUGCAAGCGUUAUCCGGAAUUAUUGGGCGUAAAGCGUCCGCAGGUGGCUGAUCAAGUCUGCGGUCAAAGACCGGGGCUUAACCCUGGAAAGGCCGUGGAAACUGAUAGAGCUAGAGUACCGUAGGGGUAGAGGGAAUUCCCGGUGUAGCGGUGAAAUGCGUAGAGAUCGGGAAGAACAUCGGUGGCGAAAGCGCUCUACUGGACGGUGACUGACACUCAGGGACGAAAGCUAGGGGAGCGAAUGGGAUUAGAUACCCCAGUAGUCCUAGCCGUA
rnacentral:rRNA from 1 species